CAGCCGUAAACAAUGUGCGUUAGGUAUGUCGGUAACCACGUGUUACUGAUGUGCCGAAGAGAAAUCGUGAAACGCACCACCUGGGAAGUACGGUCGCAAGGCUGAAACUUAAAGGAAUUGGCGGGGGGAGCACCACAACGGGUGGAGCCUGCGGUUUAAUUGGACUCAACGCCGGGAAGCUCACCGGAUAAGACAGCGGAAUGAUUGCCGGGCUGAAGACUCUGCAUGACUAGCUGAGAGGAGGUGCAUGGCGUAGACGU
rnacentral:rRNA from 1 species